GGUCAAGCUACUAAGGGCGCACGGGGGAUGUCUUGGUAUCGGAAGGCGAUGAAGGGCGUGGAAGUCUGCGAAAAGCCUGGGGAAGUUGACAAACGAGCGUUGAUCCUGGGAUUCCUGAAUUGUUCCUGCGUUGAAUACAUAGGCGCGUGGAGGCUAACCUGGCGAACUGAAACAUCUAAGUAGCCAGUGGAAUAGAAAGAAAAAUCGAUUCCGUCAGUAGCGGCGAGCGAAAGCGGAAUAGCCCAAACUUCGGGGGUUUUCCCCUGGAGGGUUGUAGGGUUUCUCACAUGAGAGUUACAAAACCACCUGUUAGCAGAAACUUUUGGAAAGUUGUACCACAGAGGGUGACAGUCCCG
rnacentral:rRNA from 1 species